rnacentral:tRNA from 1 species
AUUUAUAUAAUAUAACCAACAUUAUAUUUGAUUUCCAAUCAGAAAAUCUAAAUCUAGUAUAAAUA